rnacentral:tRNA from 1 species
GCCCUUGUAGUUCAAUGGAUAGAACGACGCUCUCCUAAAGCGUAGAUACCAGUUCGAUUCUGGUCGGGGGUA